rnacentral:rRNA from 1 species
UACGUAGGGGGCAAGCGUUAUCCGGAUUUACUGGGUGUAAAGGGAGCGUAGACGGCGAAGCAAGUCUGGUGUGAAAACCCGGGGCUCAACCCCGGGCCUGCAUUGGAAACUGUUUUGCUUGAGUGCCGGAGAGGUAAGCGGAAUUCCUAGUGUAGCGGUGAAAUGCGUAGAUAUUAGGAGGAACACCAGUGGCGAAGGCGGCCUGCUGGACUGGUACUGACGCUGAGGCACGAAAGCGUGGGGAGCAAACAGG